CCGGCGACCGGCGCACGGGUGAGUAACACGUAUGGAACCUGCCCGCAGCAGGGGGAUAAGCGGAAGAAAUUCCGUCUAAUACCGCGUAACACCGCGGAGGGGCAUCCCUCGGCGGUUAAAGAUUCAUCGGCUGCGGAUGGCCAUGCGGCGCAUUAGCUAGUCGGCGGGGUAACGGCCCACCGAGGCGACGAUGCGUAGGGGUUCUGAGAGGAAGGUCCCCCACACUGGUACUGAGACACGGACCAGACUCCUACGGGAGGCAGCAG
rnacentral:rRNA from 1 species